AGUGGUAUCAUCGUAGAGUAAAUGGGGACCCUUUGUUGCAAUAAUUUCUCUCUGCUGGUUGAUCAAUGCGGUGAAUCAAAUAUAAUUCUACUCAUU